rnacentral:rRNA from 1 species
AUACCGGGCCUUUUUGGGCUUGGUAAUUGGAAUGAGGGAGAGUUAAACGGACCAUCGAGUAUCCAUUGGAGGGCAAGUCUGGUGCCAGCAGCUGCGGUAAUACCAGCUCCAAUAGCGUAUAUUAAAGUUGUUGCAGUUAAAAAGCUCGUAGUUGGACUUGUGUGCGCUGUCCGCGGGUGGCCUGCGCCCAAAAGGGCGUUUCGGUUCGGCCCCGGUGGCGCCUUGAAAUCUGCAGCUGGGGGGACGUUGGCCUUAACUGGUCGGCGACCGCACGCCGGCUGCUCGGUUACUGUGAGAAAAUUAGAGUGUUCAAGGCAGGCAUUGGGUGCAAUUGAAUACAUUAGCAUGGAAUAAUAAAAUAUGGCUCCUGCCGUAUUUUGUUGGUUUUGACUGGUGGGAGUAAUGAUUGAUAGGGACGGUUGGGGGUGCUAGUAUUGAGCGGCCAGAGGUGAAAUUCAUGGAUUCGCUCAAGACUAACUUAUGCGAAAGCAUUCACCAAGGACGUCCUCUUUAAUCAAGAACGAAAGUUGGGGGAUCGAAGACGAUCAGAUACCGUCGUAGUCUCAACCAUAAACUAUGUCGACUUGGGAUCGGCGGUAGUUUUUUCAUUAAGACACUGUCGGGACCACGGGAGAAAUCAAAGUGUCUGGACUCUGGGGGAAGUAUGGUCGCAAGGCUGAAACUUGAAGGAAUUGACGGAAGGGCACCACCAGGAGUGGAGCCUGCGGCUUAAUUUGACACAACACGGGAAACUUACCAGGUCCAGAGAUGUAGAGGAUUGACAGAUUGAAGCUCUUUCUUGAUCACUUCGGUGGUGGUGCAUGGCCGUUCUUAGUUGGUGGAGUGAUUUGUCUGGUUAAUUCCGUUAACGAACGAGACCUCAGCCUGCUAGUGUAGUCGGCUGGAUUGCCUUUGGCGAUCCGUGAUUUCGACUUCUUAGAGGGACAAUCGACGCGCAGUCGAUGGAAGUUUGAGGCAAUAACAGGUCUGUGAUGCCCUUAGAUGUUCUGGGCCGCACGCGCGCUACACUGCUGGGCUCAGCGAGUUUUACUUGGCCGAGAGGCCCGGUUAAUCUUGUGAAAUCCCAGCGUGCUUGGGCUCGCCUCCUGCAACUGGAGGCGCCAACGAGGAAUUCCUAGUAGACGCAGGUCAUCAACCUGCAUCGAUUACGUCCCUGCCCUUUGUACACACCGCCCGUCGUUCCAUAAGAGUGAGGCAUCCGGUGAAUUCUCGGGAGAGCCUGGGCGUGGCCAGCAAUGGUCUGCUCGGGUUUGAACUUGCAUAAACUUGGUGCCUAUGAUUAGGG